GCCUAAAUAAAAAAAAAAAACCUAGGAGUUAAACUUUUUUACUUCGUUUUAGUUUGUCUGCAAUCAUACACAAAGUUUUAUUAUAUUUCUAAUUUUCCCUGUCGAAUGGCAAAAUUAACUGAACUAACUUGUUUUCCUUCAUUUUCUCAAUAGCCAAACAAACACACAAGAACAAUAAGAAUCAAACUUCCAAAUUUUCCUUAGUAAAUAAAACACAAAUACAAUUCAAUCAUCUAACACCAUCUCAACAUCCAAACAAACAAUAUCAAGGAUAAU
rnacentral:misc_RNA from 1 species